AUUAAUUGAACUCGGGAUCGACAGUCUGCGCCAACUCUCCAGAGCAUGAACUUGUUUUGGCGUUUGACUCGUUUUCGCACUGCGAAUUUUCGCCCGCGACCUAUCUCAAGAUAUCAGCUCAGGAUUUCUUUCUUUGAGGAAAUAUCACCAGAAGAUGAAACUUAUAUGGUUUUGCUUGGAGCCAUCAUUCGUUAGGGGUCAGUUCGCUCGGACAGGCAUUAGCGGCAACACUUUGCUUUCUUUAUUAACCCAACGCUGUUUGGGAAAUUUAGGAGAGAUAAUGCCAAGAACUAAAUCGAAUUGAGCUUGUGACGAGUGAUUUGCAUUCGAGAACUUUUGGGAAAUGACAGGAAGUGGAUUAAUUUUCUUUGAUCGAACUAUGUUAUCUCUGGAUUCUCAACUUUUUUUCAUUCGGAAAAGUUAUCUAGGAUAGUGGAGAAGAAAAUUAAUUAUCAGUAACUUGGUGCCGUUGCUCAAAAUAUAAAAAGAAUCCUGAAUGAGAAGAUAUCACGAGACUCUAGGAAUUAUUCAAAUUCCCAGCAUGAAUCCAUGAUAUUCUUUGAUUAUGGAGAAAAGAAACUCUAAAAGGUUUAUCGUCCUUGUGGGAUUGUCACCGACGUGCAUACUCAGUGCCAAUUGCCUGGUGAGCCAAGUAAGGCAAGAUAUGAGCAGGACUUAGUAAAUAUCCGGCUAAUUAAGGCAAUACAUCAGCACGACUUAGCCAAUAUCCGGCCAAUCAAGGCUCAAUGAAGAACCCAAAGUAAGGACUUGGAAUAAAGGAUUUGAAUAAAAUAAUUAAAAAAAUUAAAUACGGUUUUAGGCUAAUCUUUAUUCAAUGAUCUUUAUUCUACCAAGGCAAGAAAAGGACUAAUUGACAGGUGUAGUCAAAAGUAUACGCAGUAAGUGACUCAUAACAAGAUCUCAUAUAAUUUGAAAUGUAUUACAUUGAGUUUUUUUAAGCAAAACAUUUCUUAAAAAUCUGUUUCCAAUUUUUAAAAUAAGUGAAUGAUCUUUAAUUAUAGUCAUUUGUGUAAAAAACGAUUUCUUAGGAAAAAUUAUUUCAACCACAGAAAAAUUUACGUUUAAACUUGGAAAAAUAGAGCUGUAGAGAAUAUUUACAGAUACAAAAUAAGCCAUUAAGUGAUAAAAGAAGCGAUUAGUAAAAAAAUCAAUUGAAAAAACACGAUUAAAACAAAAUAUAAUAUAGAAACCCUAUUUUUACAGAGAUCUGAUUUAUACUUGAACUACCUUAAAAAUAUUACAUUGUCAGAAUGAGGAAUUUGAAAUUAACAAUUUAC